rnacentral:lncRNA from 1 species
UAUGAUGACUGCUAAAUGUAUAACUCUAUUUUGCAAACACUAAAAAACAAUCCUGCUUAUGUGUUUAGAUGUGACUCUGACUCUCACAUGCAUGACUGCUGUGAGCAUAGCGGGAAGAGGCUUGUUGGGUUCCCCAUUUUGUUGGGAAAAUUCCAAUUCCUCUUUGCUCUAUAUUUCUGCUGUGCCCUGGGAAUAGCUCAAAUAUAUCUCUUCUUGAUUAUUUGUAAGCUCGCCUCUGCCUGGCUAUAAAAUCUGGCAAGAGCCAUGACUUCAUUGUUGUAUCUUCUUAGGACCAGUGCUAGGAGGUGUUACAUAACUGUCCUUCUAGUCAGUGAAAAAGAUCACAGGAAAUAAACUGUAGAGAUGUCCUGAGUCUUCUAAACCUUUGUUUCGUGUCUUUAAACAGUAAUGACUAUUGAGGAAUUAGGACCAUGUCCCGGAAAUGGUAGACCCAGUCCACCUUAAGAUGCUUCUCUUACUUGCAGCAUUAUCUGGAGCCUGGAAGCGGGAAAGCAAGCAGUAUAUAGGGUCCUACUCCUCUCACUAGGGUAAGAGAGAUCAGAUUUAAGAAUGACAGGUACAAUAAAACAAAAUUACGUGAUGGCACAAGGUUAAUGUCUCUCUACCUCCGAAGCAACCGCGGGGGAAUGCUCAUCAUCAUGGCUGUUGUGUCUCAAGCUUCCAUCUCAUAUAGAUGAUGGUGAAAUUCACAAAAACAAAAAAACAACCAUUCCCUGGAGCUGCCCUUAUAGGCAGCCUGGCUGCCUUUGGUGUCUCAGUCCAAGUGGUGACAUAAGCUCAUCCAAGUCUUUUAUUAAUGUGAACAAAGACCCAGUGGCACUGAGUCUUGAAGCUGAAGACUUUGAGAACAAGCCUGAUUUUUCCACUGUGCUGAUGGGUGUUUUCAGUGAGAUGUUUGCCUCUUAAGCUUUCUCUCUGCCAAGUACAAAUCAGUGUGUUUCCAACAUCCCCGAGCCUUGAUUCUGCACUACUGGCUGCCAUGGCUUCUCUUCAAUUAAUGAGUAACUGCAGAGCAGCUUUACAGCUGACAUAAAGAGAAAACUCUUUAAAGAGAAAAUGAACCACAUCCCACCCCCUGAAACUUCUACCAGCCCUUGUCUAUUGAGACAGCAAAGGGAUAGAUUGAGGGAUGGGUCAUUCCGGGUAAAUGAAUAAGCUAUGAGAAAUUGGAUCUGGUCCCACUGAUGUAUGUAGCUUCCCAUCCCAGCAAGAAGAUAAAGACUAAGUAAGUUCUGUUUAAGAUUCUUUUGUAUCUUAUUUGAAAGCAUAGAGUGUGUGACAAGUAAAAGCUUGUUCCUUAGACCUUUCUUCAAAGAGUAAUGUAUUGCCUAUGGCCUCCUGGAUUUCACCCGAAGCAAAAAUGCCUGGUGACAAAAAGUUUGUGGAAGUUUUAGUCUGAACCACACGCUUUAUACCUUCUUUCAUUGUGACCAAGGCAACAGAGCUAGCUGUUCUUCCAACAACAUCCUCAAAAAGGGUGACUACAGAAUGUUUGCUGUACACCAUGAACUAAAGGAGGAAGAAGUAUACACUCAGGAAGUUGCACAGUAGGAAGAAGAAAACAGAGCUUUGCCUCUUGAAUAGAUUAUAUGCUGUAGCCCACUAACUCUUCCAUAUUGGGUAAAGGACACAUGUGUAGGCACACACAUGUGUGUACAUUGGCAAGGUCAUCAACAUGAGAUUUGGGGCUUCUCUAAAACAUGCUUUAAGCAAAAGCUUUCCUUGCAGGGAAUGGAGGCCUUUAUAAAUGCAAACUUACUCAUUUGUGCUCAAGUACAUGGACAUAAUAAAAAGAGCGUCUUGAGGAUGAAAGUCAGGGAGUGAUUUCUCUUUUUCCCUUGAUAGCCGACUCUAGAGUUAACCAUACCAUCAAUCAAAUGGGGAGAUCUGAUUAACUGACAUCACUUCUCGUUCAUUCUCCCCUUCUCUGGCAGGUUUUACUGGUCCAUCUUAAAGUAAAUAGAUUUUGUUGUAACAUAGUCAAGGACACUAAUAUGAUAAGAUUAUUAUAACCCCCCAAUCCAUCUCUGGUUUUGCCCAAGUUUAACUGGGUGUGUUCCUCUCUGAGCCAGAAGCUAUUUUUCUCCACUUGGUGGAGCUGUACACUUAUUGGCUUGGGGAAAUAGAGAAGCACCCUCCACCAGCUGUUUCAAAUGGAAAGAUCUUUCCA